CCUCCAGUUCUUGGCAUGCAGGUUGCUGUUUGGUGUGUUCGGAGGAAUAUCAAAGCAGGUGCAAUGUCUUCGGUACCAGAGUGUGUCCCAUCCUCUGGUCCUAUCCUCAAUCGCUGGUACAGAA